rnacentral:rRNA from 1 species
AAGACCUUGCACUUUUGGAGCGGCCGAUGUCUGAUUAGCUAGUUGGUGGGGUAAUGGCCUACCAAAGCUUCGAUCAGUAGCUGGUCUGAGAGGACGGCCAGCCACACUGGGACUGAGACACGGCCCAGACUCCUACGGGAGGCAGCAGUGGGGAAUUUUGGACAAUGGGCGCAAGCCUGAUCCAGCCAUGCCGCGUGAGUGAAGAAGGCCUUCGGGUUGUAAAGCUCUUUCAGUCGGGAAGAAAAGGUUGCGAYUAAUAAUCGCAAUUCAUGACGGUACCGGAAGAAGAAGCACCGGCUAACUACGUGCCAGCAGCCGCGGUAAUACGUAGGGUGCGAGCGUUAAUCGGAAUUACUGGGCGUAAAGGGUGCGCAGGCGGUUUUGUAAGUCAGAUGUGAAAUCCCCGGGCUUAACCUGGGAACU